GGAGAGGUGGCUCAGUGGUUGAGAGCACUGGCUGCUCUUCCAGAGGUCCUGAGUUCAAAUCCCAGCAACCACA
rnacentral:tRNA from 1 species